rnacentral:misc_RNA from 1 species
AAAAAGGCAAUGAAAAACAUAGUAGAGGUCUCAUAGCUUAGUAUUCAUAGCAAAAGAGAAGAAAACUAGUAGACCAUCUAUAUGCUAUACCAUUUUAUACUAUUGGAGGAUUGAUCUGUAUAUUUCGAAGGGUCAAUUCUGGAUUUCAAAAAUUCAAGUGCAAAUGCGGGCUUUAUAAAAAAGAGAAGAAAAAUGAAAAAGAGAGUGACAUCAUGGACUCACGGGCAUUACAUCAGCAACAACAAUGGGAUAGGAAAAAACAGGAUAAUUGUAGAAUGAAAUCAGUGACGUGAAGGAAGUGAUUCUUUUAUUUAGAUUUUUGGUUCAAGUGGUUGUUUAUAUCUGCAAUUCUCCUUGGUAUUCUGUUGGGUGCAAGGAGACCGCCAAAUCAGUACUUCUUCCAAUGCCUGCUCCUUUUUGAUAUGGACUUCCUUACUGGUAGUAGGUAUGGACUUAAUUUCCUCAAUCAACUGUGCACCCGAUAAAUUUGUUUCCUUAACAGGAAGUACAAAGAGGUUUGAAAGAUCUAAUCCUCCUAGUAUUAAAACAAAAGAUCCAUAAAAUAUCCUGUUUAUUUUUUCCUAUUAUUUUUUUCUUUUAUAGGCUGAUAUCCUUCGGAACAUUAAGAUAUCCUGUUUGCUGAGAAACUUUAGCAAUCUUCAAUUCCAUGAAGCUUACAUGUUUAAGUGAGGGCAGGGGCUACUAUUUCCCACCAUGCCACAUAGUUAAUAUAUGUGGUUUCCGGGUGUUACUUG